CCCGCAGGCGCUGGAGAAGAUCCUGCAGCUCAAGGAGAUCCGCCAGGAGGAGCUGGUCACCGUGCCCGGCCUCUCGGCCGAGGACGAGAUGGAGCUGGAGCUGCGGGCGCCCGCCGGCGUGUCGGCCUCCGAAGCGGAGGACGACGGCGGCCUCUCCAAGAAAGAGCGCACCCGCAAGCGCCGCAACCGCAAGAAGAAGAAGCGGG